rnacentral:tRNA from 1 species
GGGGCUGUAGUGUAGCUUGGCCAGCGCAAAUCAGAGAUUUGCUAUCUCUUGGAUAGCUUCCAACCCCGGUUCGAAUCCGGGCAGCCCCA